CAAAAACAAAGCCGAACGAGGCGGACGUGUGACGCUCGGUGCGCUUAGUUGUGAUUUGUAAUUCGUUGUCGCCUGGUGUGUGAGUGUUUUGAAUAUCGCGCCAUCGUCCCGCAACUGCAACAAAAGCCUCUCCCCGCUUAUGCCCCCAACAAAUAAAUAUAAAUCAAAUUAUAAAAAAUAAAUAUAUAUAUAUAAAAAAAAACAAAACAAACUCAAACUCAAACUAAAGAAAAGAAAAGCACAACGAAUAGCAGAUAAAGAGAAAGAGAGAAAGAAAGAGAGAGAGAGAGAGCGAGAGCAGCUGCAGCUUUGAAACAUGUUUACCGAGGAGGGCAUCUUUCCCAUAGGCGACGGCCUGCUGGACGUGGAUGCGGAGCGCUUGAAGGGAUUACUUGUGUCGCAUGACAUCAACGAGAUCUACGAGGUGGAACAGACGCCGUUUGCCAGGUGAGUGAGGAACCGAAACAGAAACCGGAGCAUACUCAGACACACACACAGACAGACAGACGUACAAACGUACAAAACGUGUUUUCUUCUCCUUUUGUCGACUUCCUCUUCUUCCUCUUCUCCUUGCCUCAAAAAGUUGCCAAAAAAGCGAAAACUGCGCCAUCGUCUGCAACAUGUCCAGCGACAAAGCACAAAAAUGCUUAAAGAAAGUCAGUCAGCAAUCAGUUAAAAAAAACACACAUACAGUGAGUCAAAAAACUAUUGACACACCUCAAAU